rnacentral:rRNA from 1 species
CCACCCGUGUGAACUCUUAUCUGUUGCUUUGGCGGGCCGGGCUCGACCUGCCGGCUCCGGCUGGCGAGUGCCCGUCAGAGAAGCCCCAACUCGUGCUGUGAGUGUUGUCUGAGGAAAUGUGGAAUUAGUAAAACUUUCAACAACGGAUCUCUUGGCUCUGGCAUCGAUGAAGAACGCAGCGAAAUGCGAUAAGUAAUGUGAAUUGCAGAAUUUAGUGAAUCAUCGAAUCUUUGAACGCACAUUGCGCCCCCCGGCAUUCCGAGGGGCAUGCCUGUUCGAGCGUCAGAACACCCCUCAAGCCUAGCUUGGUCUUGGGGCUCGCCGGCUCGGCGGCCCCUAAACGCAGUGGCGGUGCUGGUGUGCUCUCCGCGUAGUCAUGUAUCUCGCGACAGAGCGGCGACGGCACCCGCCAGAACCCCAGUCUUUGGAUGACCUCGGAUCAGGUAGGGAUACCCGCUGAACUUAA